rnacentral:rRNA from 1 species
AUUGAACGCUGGCGGCAGGCCUAACACAUGCAAGUCGAGCGGGGUUUUCGGACCUAGCGGCGGACGGGUGAGUAAUGCGUAGGAAGCUGCCCGAUAGAGGGGGAUACCAGUUGGAAACGACUGUUAAUACCGCAUAAUGUCUACGGACCAAAGUGUGGGACCUUCGGGCCACAUGCUAUCGGAUGCGCCUACGUGGGAUUAGCUAGUUGGUGAGGUAAUGGCUCACCAAGGCGACGAUCUCUAGCUGGUUUGAGAGGAUGAUCAGCCACACUGGAACUGAGACACGGUCCAGACUCCUACGGGAGGCAGCAGUGGGGAAUAUUGGACAAUGGGCGCAAGCCUGAUCCAGCCAUGCCGCGUGUGCGAAGAAGGCCUUCGGGUUGUAAAGCACUUUCAGCGAGGAGGAAGGGAUGUAUGUAAAUAGCAUGCAUUUUUGACGUUACUCGCAGAAGAAGCACCGGCUAACUCUGUGCCAGCCGCCGCGGUAAAAC